rnacentral:sRNA from 1 species
UAGCACUGCAGGCGCCUCGCUUCGAGGA